UGCCAGCCGCCGCGGUAAUACGGAGGGUGCAAGCGUUAUCCGGAAUCAUUGGGUUUAAAGGGUCCGCAGGCGGUCAAUUAAGUCAGAGGUGAAAUCCCAUAGCUUAACUAUGGAACUGCCUUUGAUACUGGUUGACUUGAGUUAUACGGAAGUAGAUAGAAUAAGUAGUGUAGCGGUGAAAUGCAUAGAUAUUACUUAGAAUACCGAUUGCGAAGGCAGUCUACUACGUAUAUACUGACGCUCAUGGACGAAAGCGUGGGGAGCGAACAGGAUUAGAUA
rnacentral:rRNA from 1 species